rnacentral:tRNA from 1 species
GAAGGUAUAGAUCAAGUGGUAGAGCACAUGCUUAGCAUGUACAAGGUCCUGGGUUCAAUCCCUGGUACCUCCU